AGACAACUCACCAUGGAGUUUGUGUUUCAUUGGGUUUUCUUUGUUGCUAUUUUUAAAGGUGUCCAGUGUGAGGUGCAGCUGGUGGAGUCUGGGGGAGACCUGGUGAAGCCUGGCGGGUCCCUGAGACUCUCCUGUGCAGCCUCUGGAUUCACCUUCAGUAGCUAUUGCAUGAGCUGGGUUCGCCAGGCUCCAGGGAAGGGGCUGCAGUGGGUCGCAGUUAUUAGCUAUAAUGGAAGUAGCAAAAGAUACGCAGACUCUGUGAAGGGCCAAUUCACCAUCUCCAGAGACAACGUCAAGAACACACUGUAUCUGCAGAUGAACAGCCUGAGAGCAGAGGACACGGCCGUGUAUUACUGUGCGAAGGACACAGUGAGGGGAAGUCAGUGUGAGCCCAGACACAAACCUCACUGUAGAAGGGGAUCUGGUCACCAGGGGGUGCACACUACUCCCCAUUUCUGUCCUUAA